GGCUUCGUGGUCUAGUGGUAGGAUACUCGCUUAGGGAGAACCCUAAAGCAAACAAAAUUGCGAGUGGUCCCGGGUUCGAUCCCCGGCGAAGCCC